CAGUAGCCGCGGUAAUGCGUAGGGGGCAAGCGUUGUCCGGAAUUAUUGGGCGUAAAGCGCGCGCAGGCGGUCAUUUAAGUCUGGUGUUUAAUCCCGGGGCUCAACCCCGGAUCGCACUGGAAACUGGGUGACUUGGGUGCAGAAGAGGAGAGUGGAAUUCCACGUGUAGCGGUGAAAUGCGUAGAGAUGUGGAGGAACACCAGUGGCGAAGGCGACUCUCUGGUCUGUAACUGACGCUGAGGAGCGAAAGCGUGGGGAGCGAACAGGAUUAGAUACCCCGGUAGUCCCUGUCUCUUAUACA
rnacentral:rRNA from 1 species